GAUGAACGCUAGCGACAGGCUUAACACAUGCAAGUCGAGGGGCAGCAUAAAAGUAGCAAUACUUUGGUGGCGACCGGCGCACGGGUGAGUAACGCGUAUGCAACCUACCUAUCAGAGGGGGAUAACCCGGCGAAAGUCGGACUAAUACCGCAUAAAACAGGGGCACCGCAUGGUGAUAUUUGUUAAAAAUUUAUUGCUGAUAGAUGGGCAUGCGUUCCAUUAGGUAGUUGGAGAGGUAACGGCUCACCAAGCCUACGAUGGAUAGGGGAACUGAGAGGUUGGUCCCCCACACUGGUACUGAGACACGGACCAGACUCCUACGGGAGGCAGCAGUGAGGAAUAUUGGUCAAUGGGCGAGAGCCUGAACCAGCCAAGUCGCGUGAAGGAAGAAGGAUCUAUGGUUCGUAAACUUCUUUUGCAGGGGAAUAAAGUGCAGGACGUGUCCUGUUUUGUAUGUACCCUGAGAAUAAGGAUCGGCUAACUCCGUGCCAGCAGCCGCGGU
rnacentral:rRNA from 1 species